rnacentral:rRNA from 1 species
UGGGGAAUAUUGCACAAUGGGCGAAAGCCUGAUGCAGCAACGCCGCGUGAGGGACGACGGCCUUCGGGUUGUAAACCUCUUUUAGCAAGGAAGAAGCGAAAGUGACGGUACUUGCAGAAAAAGCGCCGGCUAACUACGUGCCAGCAGCCGCGGUAAUACGUAGGGCGCAAGCGUUAUCCGGAAUUAUUGGGCGUAAAGAGCUCGUAGGCGGUUUGUCGCGUCUGCUGUGAAAACCCGAGGCUCAACCUCGGGCCUGCAGUGGGUACGGGCAGACUAGAGUGCGGUAGGGGAGAUUGGAACUCCUGGUGUAGCGGUGGAAUGCGCAGAUAUCAGGAAGAACACCGAUGGCGAAGGCAGAUCUCUGGGCCGUAACUGACGCUGAGGAGCGAAAGGGUGGGGAGCAAACAGGCUUAGAUACCCUGGUAGUCCACCCGUAAACGUUGGGAACUAGUUGUGGGGUCCAUUCCACGGAUUCCGUGACGCAGCUAACGCAUUAAGUUCCCCGCCUGGGGAGUACGGCCGCAAGGCUAAAACUGCAAAUGAAUUGACGGGGUCAUAGCUGUUUCCU